UAGGGAAUCUUCGGCAAUGGACGGAAGUCUGACCGAGCAACGCCGCGUGAGUGAAGAAGGUUUUCGGAUCGUAAAGCUCUGUUGUUAGAGAAGAACGUUGGUAGGAGUGGAAAAUCUACCAAGUGACGGUAACUAACCAGAAAGGGACGGCUAACUACGUUCCAGCAGCCGCGGUAAUACGUAGGUCCCGAGCGUUGUCCGGAUUUAUUGGGCGUAAAGCGAGCGCAGGCGGUUCGUUAAGUCUGAAGUUAAAGGCAGUGGCUUAACCAUUGUACGCUUUGGAAACUGGAGGACUUGAGUGCAGAAGGGGAGAGUGGAAUUCCAUGUGUAGCGGUGAAAUGCGUAGAUAUAUGGAGGAACACCGGUGGCGAAAGCGGCUCUCUGGUCUGUAACUGACGCUGAGGCUCGAAAGCGUGGGGAGCAAACAGG
rnacentral:rRNA from 1 species